rnacentral:rRNA from 1 species
AGUAAAUUGGUUAAGUUAGAAAGGGCGCACGGUGGAUGCCUUGGCACUAGGAGCCGAAGAAGGACGGGACUAACACCGAUAUGCUUUGGGGAGCUGUACGUAAGCGUUGAUCCAGAGAUUUCCGAAUGGGGGAACCCACUAUCUUUAGUCGGAUAGUAUCCUUACGUGAAUACAUAGCGUGAGGAAGGCAGACCCAGGGAACUGAAACAUCUAAGUACCUGGAGGAAGAGAAAGAAAAAUCGAUUUCCUGAGUAGCGGCGAGCGAAACGGAAAGAGCCCAAACCAAGAAGCUUGCUUCUUGGGGUUGUAGGACACUCUAUACGG